rnacentral:rRNA from 1 species
UUAGUGGCGGACGGGUGAGUAACGCGUGGAUAACCUGCCGUACACAGGGGGAUAACACCUGGAAACAGGUGCUAAUACCGCAUAAGCGCACAGGGCCGCAUGGCCCGGUGUGAAAAACUCCGGUGGUGUAAGAUGGACCCGCGUCUGAUUAGCUUGUUGGCGGGGUAGGGGCCCACCAAGGCGACGAUCAGUAGCCGGCCUGAGAGGGUGGACGGCCACAUUGGGACUGAGACACGGCCCAAACUCCUACGGAAGGCAGCAG